rnacentral:misc_RNA from 1 species
AAGUCGUAACAAGGUCUCCGUUGGUGAACCAGCGGAGGGAUCAUUAAAGAGUUUUAUAACUCCCAAACCCAUGUGAACAUACCGUACGUUGCCUCGGCAGGCUGCGUCUCCCUGUGAGGUCUUACCCUGUAGGACGCUACGCUGUAAGGCUUAUCGGGAAGAUGCACUAAAGCCUGCCGGCGGCCCAUUAAACUCUGUUUAUUUUUGAAUUCUGAGGUUAUAAUAAAUAAGUUAAAACUUUCAACAACGGAUCUCUUGGUUCUG